UACGUAGGGUGCAAGCGUUGUCCGGAAUUAUUGGGCGUAAAGGGCGCGUAGGUGGCGCGACAAGUCAGUGGUGAAAGCUCGACGCUCAACGUCGAGUCGGCCACUGAGACUGUUGGGCUGGAGCACUGUAGAGGCAGAUGGAAUUCCGGGUGUAGCGGUGGAAUGCGUAGAGAUCCGGAAGAACACCGGUGGCGAAGGCGGUCUGCUGGGCAGUUGCUGACACUGAGGCGCGACAGCGUGGGGAGCAAACAGG
rnacentral:rRNA from 1 species